GAAACUUUGGGGUUUUCCUAAUCCCCUUGUUUCUUCUCAAUCCUUCUCAACUCCCUCGUAACAAGUCUCUCACUCCCUCCUCCAUUUGCCAUAAUCCUUUCGAAAACCUCCUUAAUCCUGUUCCAAAUUUCGUCCAUUCCUCAUCGUCUUCUUCCCCUUUCCCCGUUUAUUUGUUGGUUUUCUUCUUCAAAUACCAAGCUUGUUUCUAUUCCUUUGUUUUCCUUUUCGAAUCUACACUAUCUCCGGUGUUUUUUCUCUUUUCGUCUUCCUCUUCCAACCUCAGAUAUGCAUCCUCCGACCUCGUUUCAUUUUCUUCUUCGGAACUUUUCUCUUUGUCAUGACGAAUCCUUUCAUUUUUUUGUCUGAAUCUCAGAUCUCCGUCUUUUUCGUUUCAUUGAUGGCUUCAUUUCUAUGCGUUGCCUCCAAAACGCUUCUCCUUCCACUCUUUGGUUUCGUUUACUGGCUUCAUUUCCAUGAGUUGCCUCCGAAACCGUUCUCCUUCCCCUCUCUGGUUCGUUGCAUGGCUGGGCUUCCAGUCUUGCCGCUCCAAAUUUCCCUUGCUGCUUCGACUUCCCCUUUGCCGCUCAUACACAUGUAUCGAGAACAGAUAGAUGCUACAUUCGGAGAAUGGUAGGGGUUUACGAAAUGUUUGAGCAUGUACACUCAAGUUCAACAUUUUCUCUUCUGGGAUACUAGGGUUCCUUUGCAUUGAAAUAUGUUUGGUCUUUCGUUUCAAUCGUAAUUAUUUACUAUAUUGUAAUAUUUAGUAAUUUUUGCACAAAACUUGUUUUCCCAAACCGUGUAUGUAGACUUGCUAUUAAUUCUUUUACUUAAUAUAUUCUUGUCAUUUUGUA